UACGUAGGGUGCAAGCGUUAUCCGGAAUUAUUGGGCGUAAAGCGCUCGCAGGCGGUUUCUUACGUCUGAUGUGAAAGCCCACGGCUCAACCGUGGAGGGUCAUUGGAAACUGGGAGACUUGAGUGCAGAAGAGGAGAGUGGAAUUCCACGUGUAGCGGUGAAAUGCGUAGAGAUGUGGAGGAACACCAGUGGCGAAGGCGGUUGUCUGGUGUGUAACUGACGCUGAGGAGCGAAAGCGUGGGGAGCAAACAGG
rnacentral:rRNA from 1 species